GAACUGAACUGCCUGUCCCUUGACCACCCUCUUUCUUGUAGCAUCUUACAUCCAAUGACUAGUCAAAUAUAAAGACCAGCUCCUUCACCCCAACAAGGGACAUAUCUGAAAAUCCACCUCAUCUUCAGAGUUCACUGUGGAGUCAGCUGAGGCUUUCUUUGAGCCUAGCUCCUCCCUCUAUGCUUUCUUCCCUUCCCUUCAACAGGUGGUGAAGCCAGGGGUACUCCCCAAGACCUGUAUACCAGCCUCCAUUCCAGAGUCUGCCUCCUGGGGCCCCAUCCUGUGGGACUGAGUGUGCAUAUCUAUAAAACAGACCAUGAGCACAGCAGCAAAUGAAAAAUAGAUGGAUUGGGCUUCAAAAGGUAAACCUUCACACAUCAAAGGACAUUAUCAGCAGAGUGAAAAGGCAACCUGUGGAAUGGAAGAAAAUAUUUACAAGCCAUAUAUCUAAUAAGGGAUUAAAAUCCAGAAUAUAUAAAGAACUUCUACAUCUCAGUGGUCAAAAAAUCAAAACAUGGGCAAAGGGUUUAAAUAGACAUUUGUCCAAAUAAGAUAUACAGAUGCCAGUAAACCCAUAGAAAAUGCUAACAUCACUAAUUAUUAGGGAAAUGCAAUUCAAAAUCACAAGAGAUGCCACUUCAUUCCCAUUGGGAUGGCCAGAAAAUAAAUGUUGGUGAAGAUGUAGAGAAAUUGGAACUCUAAUGCAUUGCUGAUAAGAAUGUAAAUGGUACUGCUACUGUGGAAACCAAAAAAGCUUCCAAAGUAAGUCUAAUAUACAGCUAAUAUUGACAACUGCUAUAAUUAAACCCAUGAAGUCCCACUAACCCAGAUUUGCCUGCAAAGGUACUCAGUGUAAUCAUGGACCUUUAGAAUUACAAGGAAACUGAAAGCACAUCUGGUCCACAAACAGAAUACAAUUUUAGUGUAUAACACAGCAAUUUCACUUCUGAGCAUAUUCUCCAAAUAAUUUAAAACAGGGACUCAGAUUUCUGUGCACCAAUUUUACAACAAAAUAAUUCGCUGUAGCCAAAAGAUGGGAACAGAUCAAAUACCAUCAAUAGAUGAGGGGUAAACAACAUGUGGUAUGUACAUACAAUGGAAUAUUAUUCAGCCUUAGAAAGGAAGGAAAUUCUGACACAUCCUACAACAUGGAUGAACAUUGAGGGCAUUAGGCUAAGUGAAAUAACCAAUCACAAAAGGCAAAUACUGUGUGAUUCUACUUGUAUGAGGAACCUAGAUAAGUCAAAUUCAUAGAGACAUGAAUUGGAAUGGUAUUUGCAAGGGGUUGGGGGAGGAAGGAAUAGGGAAUUAGUGUUCAGUGGGUACAGGGCUUUGGUUUGGGAUAAUGAAAUUUCUGGAAAUGGAUGUUGCACAACAGUGUGUAUAAUUAAUGCCUCUGAGCUGUGCACUUAAAAAUGUGCACUUAAAGCUGUGCACUUAAAACUUAAAAACAGCGCUGAAGCUGUGGCUCAAUGGUAGAGUGCCUGGCAUGCGUGAGGCACUGGGUUUGAUCCUCACAUAAAAAUAAAAUAAAGGUAUUGUGUGCACCUACAACUAAAAAAAUAUAUUUUUAAAAAUGGUUAAAACAAAAAGUUUUUUGUAUAUUUUGCUUCAAUAAUAUUUAUUUAACUAAAAAAUACAAGAGUGGGAUACAUACCUGUAAUCCCAGCUUCUUGGGAGGCUAGGGGAAAAAGAUGUUCAAGGCCAGCCUGCAAAUUUAGCAAGACCCUGCGUCAAAAUAAAAUAAAAAGGAUUGGGAUGCAGUUCAGUAGUAGAGUGCCCCUGAGUUUAAUCACCAACAGCAAAAAAAAAAAAUAGCACCUAAGACCACAUGUGCUUUCAGUUUCCUCGUAAUUCUAAAGGUCCAUGAUUACACUAAAUACCUUUGCAGCCAAAUCUGGGUUAGUGGGACUUCAGGGGUUUAAUUAUAGCAGUUGUCAUUAUUAGCUGUAUAUUAGAACUACUUUGGAAGCUUUUUUUUUUUUUUUGAGUAUGCCUUGACUACACGAUAGUGAUUCAUAUGUGAUUGACUCUAAGCCUUGAUACUUUUAAAAGCUGCUGGUGAUACCAAUAUAUAAACACAGUUAAGAUUUACUGGGCUAGAAGAAUACAGGCCAUAGCUUCCCUGCUCACUUGCUAUUAUUGCCCCUGAGGAUUUGGCCACCUGCUUAUCUUUCUAGACUCAUCUUUCUGACUCCUUCCUCCUACACACAGACAAACUAUAACUGAACCACUUCUCUCCUGUCAAACCCUAUCUGACUUCUGCCCCUUAGUUCAUGUUUCCUCUGACGAGACCGCCUUCCUCAGACUGAUGCCAUCCUAGUGGACCCCUUCUUGGAAAACUUUCCCUCAGCAUCCUCAUGUGUGCCACUGUUCCGAACUCUGGAAACAUUUCAUGUGACAGCCCCCAUCCUGGGAACUUUGUGGAUCUGCAUACCUCACAGGGCAGCGAGCGAGUCUGCUUACCUGCUUUCCUAGUACAAGGUAGGAGCCAGGCACCAAGAAAAUUGUUAAUAGAUAUUUAUCUAACAGAUUUCUUUAAUAAGAGAUCAUUCAUUCAUAAUGAAAUAGCAUUUUUAAAGAAAAUGCUUUGGGAAGAAUUAACAUGCCUGUAUAAACAAGGCGUUUUUUAAAAACCAUUCACGGAACCAUUAUUAUGUUUCAUGGAUUGUAUUAGUGCUUUACUUGGAGUUUCUUAUUGAAUCUCCACAGCAACCCUAGGAGCAGAUAGUAUUAGCUCCAUGUUAGAAGAGAAAAUAUUCAGUCAGGUAAAGAACCUGUCUGGGAUCCCAGCUAGUGUGCAGCAGAGCUGGGAAUUUCUUUGGAGAUAUAAGUGAUGGUUCCUAAUAUGGGGAAAGGGGCAGAGCAAACAUGUUAGAGAUCAGUAGGAAUCUAAAAGGAGGUGAGAGGCUCUUGUUACUGAUAGGAAAAAAGGAGAGCCACAGACAGAAAAGACAAACUUUGACAUUUUCCCUAUUUUGCUCAGCCUUCAGAUUAAUUGAGUAGUUAUUUAAAUCGCAAACACAAGACUGGAAGGUGGGCACUAUGAAAUUUAUUCCUCAGAUAAAUUCAACUAAAUUCAAUCCAACAAUAUUUAUUGAAGUUCUGUGGUUUCCAGAAACAGUGCAAGACAUUAAUGCCACACACAGAUGACAUAAGAUCUUUGCCAACAGAGCUCUCACUCCAGUGGGGGGGAUGAGAGGUGCACUAUCAACAGAUAUGCCAUGUAAAAUGGUAUAUUUCUUUUUUCUUGCAGUUCUGGGUGUUGAACCCAAGGCUUUGUAUGUACUCUGCCACUGAGCUAUAUCAUCAUUCCAAUGGUAUGUAUUCUUAUAAUCAACGUAUGUGUUAAGAAUUAUGGAAGUACAAAGAAACUCAGUUUUCCAGAGAAACCAGGGAGGGUUUUACAGUAGAACUGGCAUUUGAACUUGAUGAAUGAAUAGAAGAUCAUGUGGAAAGUGAAAAUGUAAAGUUUAGCAGUUGCAGAAGUAUAACCAGUAGGUUAAAAACUAGCCAUUGAGUCAGGAUUAUUGUGGCAGAUAUCUUAGUCUGUUUUGUACUUCUAUAACAGAAUCCCUAAGACUGAAUAAUUUAUAAAGAAUGGGGAUUUAUUUCUAAUAGUUCUGAAAGUUGGGAAGUCCAGGGUUGAGGGUCAUGUAUCUGGUAAGGCCUUCUUCCUACAUCAUCCCAUGGUUUAAGGUGGAAGGGCAAGAGCAUUAGCAGGUGGUGGUGGAGGAGGAGGAGGAGGAAGAGGGAAUUUUUCCUUUUAUCAGGAGCCCACUCUUGAGAAAACAGCAUUAAUCUGUUCAAAAGGGCAGAGCCCUCAUGACCAAAUCACUCCUGAAAGGUCCUCCCUGUCAACAAUAUUGCACUGGGGAUUAAGUUUCAACACAUGAACUUUUGGGGACACACUGAAGCCAUAGCAAUGGGGGAAGAGAGGCAGGAGAGGGGAAAAGAGAGAGAUAUCUUUCCCUGUAUUUUCAGUUUUCCUUUUGUAAGAGUUCUCUUUGUUCUCUCAUUCAAGUCUCCAAAGAUUCUAUGUCCACUGCAUCACUUCGCCUCCCAGAAGUGCUUUAAUGUUAUCUGGCAGUCAGGCAUUCAUUAAAAAAAAUCAACAAUAUGUUAUUCUGCUGUCUCCCUAACCUGACAUUGUGGAAACCUGGGAAUCUUGAUUUUUCUCACUUUUUUUACUCCCUUUUCUCAAUUGCUCAAGUUGUAAAGAUUAUUUUAAGACUAUUAAUAAUAAUUAUCUAAAUAUUAUUAUAUAUAACCAAGAAUCCCAGGUUUCUAGUUUAAACAACUAGGCAACUUGAUUGAAUUAACAAAACUAACAUAGAAGUUAGUUAACAUUCAGUUGUUGUUUUUAUUUAAUUUAUUUUUUAUUUGUUGUUAUUUAAUUAGUUUAAUUAGUUAUACAUGAAAAUAGAAUACAUUUAUGCACUUUGAUAUAUCAUACAUAGAUGGGAUAUAAUUUCUCAUUUUUCUGAGUAUACAUACAGUCGAAUCAUAGUGGUCAUGCAUAUAUACAUAAAUAAUAAUGUCUAUUUCGUUAUACUAUCUUUCCUAUCCCCACAUCCCCUCCCCUCCCCUAUCACAUAGAAUGUAAAGUAACAGGGACAUUCAACUAGAGCAGAAAUCAUAUAGUAGGUAUGAUGAUGUGAUCCAAGAUGCCAUACAUCUGGGAGGCAAAGUGGUAUGGAGUAAAAUCACUACGGUAUUCGCGCUGGUCUUCACACUAACCCUAUACAUGCUUUUUUCCAACCCCUUCCAGAGGAGAAGGGAGGACAAUGGGCAGAAGGACCAUCCCUCUCAGCUUAUUCAUACCUGGAUUUCCUUGCAGGUGUAACAUAUCCUUUCACUUUAGAAUAGAGCAAAAGGUCAAUGAAAUUCAUUAAUUCCUAACUAAUAACCAGUUGAUUAAAUUAAAAUGAUGUCCUUUCCUAUUUUGAAAAGAUGAAGGAAUCAAAACAGUAGGGGAAAUUUGAAUAUUGAAAUUGGAUAAACAGUUGGGAGAGUUGUUUAAAAUUAGAAAUUAAGCACUAGAGCUGUUGCUCAGUGGUAGAGUGCUUGCCUAGCAUGUGUGAGGUGCUGGGUUCAAUCCUUAGUACCACAUAAAAGUAGAUUAAAUAAAGGCAUUCUGUCCAUCUACAACUACAAAGAAAGAGAGAGAGAGAGAGAGAAGUUUAAAACAAAAGUGAAGAAUGAAUAUACAGAAAGCACUUCAGUUUUGGCCUUCCAAUAUUUGACACAUUAACUACAUGUAAGAUGUUUGUUUUAAGAUGCCAUUGUUGGCAGCUAUACAUCUAGAAAUUUUUGAAACUGUUGUUAUGUUGACUUUGUUCUAAAUGAGUGUUGUUCUCUGAGAAUUUCAGAACCAUCCUAGAACCAACCCAGGAACUUUGUUCUCUGAGAGUUUCAGAACCUUCCAAAAUGCCAGAGCUUCCCAGACAUUAGUGCAAUUCAACACACAGAAAGGCACUAUAUGCAAGAUGCCACACACCACCAAGAUGCCAGGGAGUGAGAUGAAUAAAAGUAGCCCGGCCCUAAGUGUGCUUCCAGUGUGGGAGACUUGGAGGUGGCUAAGGGGUGCAUAUAGAAGAUGAGAGUGAGGGAGGUGAUGGCCACAUAAACAAGUAUAUUUACAAAUUCCCCAGAAUGACUGGAGCCUUGACCUAUUUGCAGCCAUUAUGUAAUCACUGAAACAAGUCCAGCUAAAUUAUUCAAAAAUCUCCAAAUGCCAAUUCCUUUUAAUUUUAAAUAACAAGCAUCCUUGAGAGGGAUGAUUUUCAGAACAAUGACUAAGGGAAAAUAUUUUUCCAGCAGGGUUUUUGCACAGGAAAAAUUUCAUUGCUUCCAUCCCUACAUCCCACACCCCACAUUCCAUACCCCUUGGUGUAAAAAUAUUUGUAUUUAAAUAAUUUUAAAUGUCAUGCAUUUCUAAUUAAAACCAAUUCUGUGCUCAGAAGAACAGAGAUUACUUACUUUAAAUCAAUGAAAAAAACUAAAUUUUCCUCAAAGGAAAAUUUCAUGAGAUUCAACGGUAGUUUAAGUGUAAUGAAUUUAAUCCCAUUGAUUACAAGUGGUCUCUGGUGAUUACUGAUGUCCCAGCUGCCUCCUGCAGCAGGAGUAUAUAGGACUCUCCAGAUAUUCUUUCCUUUAUCUCUUAUCCUUCCUACCUUUAAGUACCCAAGGACUGCUUUUGCACAAAAUAUUUCAGUUCCCUUGAGAACUGCCCUUCUUCUGUAAUACCACAGCCUAUUUCUUUAUUUUCUGCCCAGCCAGAAAACUGCAUUCCCUUGCCCACAGUGAUUGGUUCAGGAAUGGAAACAUCUGAAGACAAGUCAAUCAAAACCUAUAUCAAAGAAGUAGUAAAGAUGAGGAGGGGUAACUUCCUGAUGACUUUAUGGUACUCCCUGGAUUCCACUCUCCCUGUCAUGACUAAUUCCAUGUUUCAGAAACACCAGUCUACCUGUUGUUGUGGGUUUUGGGGGUCUUUUUGUUUCUUUUUUUUAUUGUGUCUGAUGCUUAUUUUUACAUAUGAUUACAUUUGUCUGUAGACUUUGGGUAAAGCAGAUUACUCUCCAUAAUGUGGGAGGCCCUCAUUUAAUCAGUUGAAGGCCUUAAGUUCAAAGACUGAAGUUUCCCAGAGUACUACAGAGUACAAUAUAGAACCUUGAUUGAGCCUAAUGCCCUGCAUAAUUUGGACUCAAGACUGUAACAUCAACUGUUAAUCUGAAUUUCCAGCCUGCUGGCCCACUCUGUAAGUUGCCCUUGUAAACACAAGUGAAUUCCUUAAAAUAUCACCCCUCAUGGAUUCUGUUUCUCUGGAGAACCCCAAUUAAUGCACUGACAAUGUACUUUAUCUUUGAAUUAUCCAAUGUCUUACUUUUGUGUUUGUUUUAGCUAGCUUGAAUAAAGUUUCCACCUGAAACUAAGAGUUGAACAGUCCAGAGUAUAAAUGGAUGGAGUCCCCUAUAGGUUAAUUUUUUUAUUGGUUGUUCAAAACAUUAUAAAACUCUUGACAUAUCAUAUUUCAUACAUUACAUAUACUGCAGUGCUAGAGAUCAGAUCCAGCAUGCUAAGCACAUGCCCUGCCUCUGAGCUAUACACCAGCCCUAAGCAAACAAUUUCUAUUCUGGCACUCCAGGCUUGGAACCUACUCUAGUGAGUUCUCUUUCCUUCUCCCAUAUUUUCUAGUUAGUUUUUAACCUAUUGCUUCCUUCUCCUUGAAGAGUAAAUAAACAAGAAACAAGAAUUAGAAACAACAGAAAAAGAAAGGAAGUAGAGAAAGAGUGUUUUUAAAUAACAGUGUUAAAAAUGACACAUGCAUUGUUUUCUCUGACAUAUAGAACGAAGAUAAACACAAAAAGUAAUUUUCUCAGGUUCCAGUUGUUUUUUAUCACUCAGACAGAAUGGUGCUCCAUAGAGCAUGAGGAACAUUGUGCUAUUGCAAACUCUCUGUACCAGAGCAGGAGGAAGCCAGUGCAUCUGACUCUUGCCAAAGACAGUUCUUCCAAGGGAACCUAGGGUGGCGGGAAUGGGGUUCUUUCAGGAGGCCAGUGAUUGUGUGUAGACAACUUGCCUAAGGGACCCUGACAACAGUCCCACAUGCCAUCUCUGUCAUGCUUGCUAUAGGUCAGACACCUACUCUUUUUUUCUUUUUCUUUCCACAUUUUUUUUAUUGGUAUGUAAUAGUUGUACAUAAUAAUGGGACUGACCUCUAAUCCUGAAAAUUUCCAGCAUGGUCCCUGGUUCGUGAAGAUUCGUGAGCACCAGGCUUGUUGCAGUGGGUAAUAGCAUGUAGCUCCUAUAUAGCCAAGUAAAUAAGUACCAUAUUAGAGGCCCAGCACCUACAUAAAACAUACAGAUUCUAAAAAAAAAAAAAAAAAUUAAAGUUUUAAAUGAAUUAACAAUGUUACUACUACUGAUACUUGACAUAUUACUAAUAAAUCAGUAGGAAAUUUGGGAAAAGAUGAUGAAAAUUUUAUGGGCCAGAAAGAAUAUAUUUUGUCCAGAUCUCAUUGGAAAUCACAGACAUUUCAUGAGUUUUCCUCUGAUUCUUCCAGACCUGCCAAGGAGAAAAUAAAAGGUUAUCCCAGAGCUUCAGCUUUUCUCUCAUCUACUUGAUGCCAAGUAGUAAAAUGAGAGAAAAUGGAAUUCUCACCAUAUUUGAAUCAUAUAAGUCAGAGGUUUGGCUUUAUAAAAAUCCAGCCUGUCUUUUGCACUUACCAUACAAAGUUAUUGUAUUACCAUAAAAGUGACUGGUUUUCAUUUCUCUCUCUGUGUGUUUGUAUAUAAUAUAUAUAUAUUUAUUAUAUAUAAUAUAUGCAUAUUUAUUAUAUAAAAAUAUUCUGUGUAAGUGUAUAUAUAUAUUUAUAUGUAAAUGAGAAACCAAAAACAUUUAUGGUAAUCUUCAUUAAUAUUAAAAUAAUGGAGAAAAGAUGAGUAUAGCAUGAUUUUUAUACAUCUGAUUUAAUGCUAAAAUAAAAAUCUACUUAAAAUGGGCCCAACUCCUGGCCUACUGUGUCCAAAAAAUGUUAUUUGAAAUAAAUUGUACUCUAUUAACAAAACAAAACCCACCACUUGUAAUAUUUUUCUGUUUUUCGGAGCAAAAUACAAGUCAAGAUAAGAUGUAUACUGUGAAGAAGACUAUGUCCCUAAGCUUCAGAUUAAACUAUAUUAAUUUCUAGCCACUCUUUUUAUAUAUAUAUAUACAUUUAUUUAUUGAUGCCUAGGAUGGAACCCAGUGCCUCACACAUGCUAGGCAAGGGCUUCACGACUGAGCUACAAUCCCAGCCCCUCUAGUCACUCUUUAGAUAUGAGGUUUGCUCAUAAGGUUAUUUGGUAAAGUCAGUAUUGUAUGCAAACUACAAUUUGCAGGUAGUAAAAUGCUUUAUGCCUGUGUGACAACAUUGUAAAAUGGAUCUAGAUAACUUCAAAAUGCAAACAAAAAAUAGUUGCUCUAAUAACUAGUUUAAUUUGAGAACUGGAGUAAAAUAUAACUUUUUCUCCUAAAAUGUGUUUUCCAUGGUGCAUCAAAGCAGUUUGCAAAGCUUGGGGGGAAGAAAAAAAUACCACCUGAUACAAUAUUCAGUGGAAGGCCAGCAGUGCUACAAGUUAUGAAAACAAUGAAUGGAUCACUAACAUUCUUCAAGGUAAAGGCUCGAAUCAUUGACAAUAUACCACAGAGAAGCAGUUAUCAAUUACAGUUUAAAAUAAUAUGUGUAAAAUUGGCUUGCUUUGGAAUAAGAUCAAUUUCCUAAAAAACACUUGUAAGCAUCUUUGACUAAAUUCCAUAAAUAGAAUAAUUUCUAGAAUAAAUAUAUGGAGAAAGAAUCAUUUUCUAUUCUCUCUCUCUCUCUCUCUUCUCUUCUCUUCUCUUAAAUCUCACUAAAGGUCCUCAAUCCAGAGGAAAGCAGUGGUUUUCAAUGGGGGGUUUUUAGCACCCCACCCUCCAGACAUUUGGAAACAUCUAGAAACAUUUUUUGUUGACACAUGGAAGUGAGGACAAGGGUAAAAGGAAGGUGCUACUGGUAUCUAGUAGGAAGAGGUCAGGGAUACCGCUAAACAUCCUAUAAUGCACCAGCCAGUCCCACAACAGAAUUAUCUGGUUGCAAAUAUCAAUAAUUCAGAGACUGAGAAACACUGGUCUAAGGGUACAACAGCCCUUUGAAACCCACAUAAACUGGGGGAAUUGCAGAUUAGCAGGUAUAGCAAAGAAAUUCAAUUUUCAAAUUGGAUGUGUGAGGAAAUCUCAGAACUGUUUUGAUUCUUUGCCCUACCCCAUCUUCUCAAGUAAAAUUCUAAAAGAAACAUUAUGGUAAAUAAUCAGAAGGAUUGUCUAUUUUAUGCCACAGUUUUUCAAAGUGUGGCCUGUGCCUUAGCCUGGGAUUUCUGGCAAUCAUAGUAGACACUCUGUUAGUUUUCUCCUUGGUCCUGAAAGUUCUUACUGUAUAUUUUAAAGAUGAAUGCUGCAUGACAUUCUCUAUUCCACAUCAUUCAAUUGCAUUUUUUGUUUUAUUUGGGUUUUUAUUUGUUUUUUCUUUCUCAUUCUCCAAGCCCUCGUUUAAGACAGCAUGUAAUUUUCAGGUAACAAGUUUCAAGAAAAUUGUUUUGUGGAUAAUAAUGGAGACUUUAUGAUUCACAAGCUCUAGGGGACUUCAGUAUAAUUUUAUUUUCACAAACUAAGAGUCAGUUAUGGCAAGUAACUUUCCAUUCUUGAAAACCAUAUAGCACAUUUCUAUUCCCCAGCCAGUUGCCUGUCCUGCCUACCAGAGCUCUGAACUGACUGUGCUCAUGACCUUAGUCUUUUUCAGGGAGCCCACCACUCCUUUAUGAACAGGUCUACUGUGGUCAACCAAUUGAGGAGGGUUUACCUCAAUUAAAAUGCCAGAGGCUUUCAAAGUACAGCUGUUAGAUACUAGAAAAGUUAGUUAUAGCCAGGCACGGUGGCUCACACCUGUAAUCCCAGCAACUCAGUAGGCUGAGUGAGGAGGAUCACAAGUUCAAAGGCAGCCUCAGCAAUUUAGCAGGACCAUAAGCAACUUAGGAACACCCUGUUUCAAAAUGAAAAAUAAGAAGGCUGGGAAUGUGGCUCAAUAGUUUAGAGCCUCUCAGUUCAAUCCCUGCUACCAAAAAGAAAAAAAAAAGAUAUUGGUACCAAGCAAGACAUUUUAAGCAGAUAAAACACCAUUUAGCAAAACUACCUGCCAGCCAAACAAACAGAAUGCAAGAGAAAACCUAGCAACAAUCCAUACAAUUAACCUGUACAAAAUGACACAAUAUCUUUUAUAACAGUCAAAUCAUAGAAAGCAGGCUGGGGGUGUGGCUCAGUGGUAGAGCAGUUGCCUGGUAUGUGUGAGGCACUGGGUUUGGAUCCUCAUCACCACAUAAAAAUAAAUAAAUAAAAAUAAAGGUAUUCAGUAAAGUAGCAGGAUAUAAAAUCAAUACCCGUAAAUCAAAGGCAUUUCUGUAGAUCAAAUCCUCUGAGAAGGAAAUGAGGAAAACUACCCCAUUUACAAUAACCUCAAAAAAAGAAAAACGAUACUUGGGAAUCAACAAAAGAGGUCUUGGAUAGGCAGAAUUAAUAUUAUCAAAAUGACCAUACUACCAAAAGCACUAUACUGAUUUAAUGCAAUUCUGAUCAAAAUUCCAAUGGUAUUCCCCAUAGAAAUAGAAAAAGCAAUCAUGAAAUUCAUCUGGAAAAAUAAGAGACCCAGAAUAGCUAAAGCAAUCCUUAGCAGGAAGAAUAAAGCAGGUGGCAUCACUAUACCAGACCUUAAACUAUACUACAGAGCAAUAGUAACAGAAAUAACACGGUAUUGGCACCAAAACAGGUAGACCAAUGGUACAGAACAGAGGACACAGAGACUAACCCACACAAUUACAAUUAUCUUAUAUUAGACAAAGGUGCCAAAAACAUGCAUUGGAGAAAAGAGCUUCUUCAACAAAUGGUGCUGGGAAAACUGGAAAUCCAUAUGCAACAAAAUGAAAUUAAACCUCUAUCUCUCACCAUGCACAAAACUCAACUCAAAGAGGAUCAAGGACCUAGGAAUUAAAUCAGAGACUCUGCAUCUAAUAGAAGAAAAAGUAGGCUCUAAUCUUUAUAAUGUGGGUUAGGCCCCAGCUUCCUUAAUAAGACUCCUAUAGUGCAAGAAUUAAAAUCAAGAAUCAAUAAAUGGGAUGGACUCAAACUAAAAAGUUUCUUCUCAGCAAAAGAAACAAUCUGUGAGGUGAACAGAGAGCCUACAUCCUGGGAGCAAAUUUUUACCUCUCACACAUCAGACAGAGCACUAACCUCUAGGGUAUAUAAAGAACUCAAAAAGCUAAGCACCAAAAAAACAAUAACCCAAUCAACAAAUGGGCCAAGGACCUGAAUAGACACUUCUCAGAAGAUGAUAUACAAUCAAUCAACAAAUAUAUGAAAAAAUGUUCAUCAUCUCUAGUAAUUAGAGAAAUGCAAAUCAAAACUACUCUAUCAUCUCACUCUAAUCAGAAUUCUAUUAUUAAGAAAAACAACAAUAAGUGUUGGCGAAGAUGUGGGGGAAAAGGUACACUCAUACAUUGCUGAUGGGACUGCAAAUUGGUGCAGCCAAUAUGGAAAGCAGUAUGGAGGUUCCUUGGAAAUCUGGGAAUGGAGCCACCAUUUGACCUAGCUAUCCUACUCCUUGGUCUAUACCCCAAAGACUUAAAAACAGCAUACUACAGGGACACGGCCACAUCAAUGUUUAUAGCAGCACAAUUCACAAUAGCUAAAUUGUAGAACCAACCUAGAUGCCCUUCAGUGGAGGAAUGGAUUAAAAAAGUGGCAUAUAUACACAAUGGAAUUUUAUUCCGCAAUAAAAGAGAAUAAAAUCAUGGUAAAUGGAUGGCACUGGAGAAGAUAAUGCUAAGUGAAGUUAGCCAAUCCCCAAAAACAAAUACCGAACGUUUUCUCUGAUAUAAGGAGGCUGACUCAUAGAGGGGUAGGGAGGGGGAGCAUGGGAGGAAUAGAUGAAUUUUAGAUGGGGCAGAGAGGUGGGAGGGAAAGGGAGGGGGUAGGAGAUUAGCAAGGAUGGUGGAAUGUGAUGGACAUCAUUAUCCAAAGUACGUGUAUGAAGACACGAAUUGAUGUCAACAUACUUUAUAUACAAGCAGAGAUAUGAAAAGUUGUGCUGUAUAUGUGUAAUAAGAAUUGUAAUGCAUUCUGCUGUCAUUUAUUUUUUAAAAAAAUCAAUAAAAAAGGUAUUGUGUUCAUUUACAACUAAAAAAAACAUAGGGAGCUAGGGCCAGAUAGAACAUUUUAUACUAUUUAGGUGCACUACUGAGUAAACUCUUUCUGGGGUUUUAUUUUUCUCUCUUGCUUUAUUUUUGUGAUGAAGAAAUGAAAUAAAGACUCAGUGAAGGCAAACAACUUGGCCAGACUCAUCCAGGGAAAGAAUCAAAGUUAAAACUGGGAAUACAGAUUUUUCUUCUUUAUGUAUAAAGGGCCCAAAGCACAAAGACUAUUUUAUUCAUAGACUUUCCCAUUUUUUCCCCAGUACUUCUUUUUCUCACCUUUCUCUCUUAGCUCAAAUUCCCAACUCCCUGGAUAAACUAUUUUGGAAAUUAGAAAACUUUCUUUUAAUGCAAAUAAUGCCUUUUUUAAAAACUUGUAAACACCCACAACAUUUUUAUGCUUAGUGACUUCAUGCCAACUAUGUAUAUUCAUGGUGUAUUGGGAUCUAUAAAUGUCAUUUGUAUAUUCAUAUACAUUUGCAUCGCAGAUUUCCAAAUCUAGUUGUUUUCCCUCCCCUUCCUGAGAGACAGGCACACCCCUGACAUUUUGGUAGCCAAGCUUUAAAUACAAUUCAAUUAUGGGAAUUUGAAUUGGAUACAAGUUAUGGCAAAGGACAAAAUAUAUUUCUUGAUAGUUUCCUUCCAGUAAUAUUCAUCAUCUUUUACUAGAAAAGAUUAACAGAGAAGUACUCAGUGUAUCUCUGGAAAUGAAGGAGAUUUUGACCUAAAUAAAAAUAAGCACUAUUUAAGACUUGACAAACUGCUAGCGAAUUUUUUUCUCCUGUUCUACAGAGGGUCCCUGGCACAGGGCAUAGUUACAGCUGCUGAUAGGAAUGUCUAUGCAAACCUUAUUCUGUACUUCCUAUAAUCACCACCUAAAAUAUGUAAGUUAAGCACCCAACCUAAUUUAUUUUAAUGCUCAUCUUCAUACUUUAAAAUAAGCAUUAUUUCUUGGCAAGUGUGCUUGGCAAGUUUUCUAUUUAAAGUGCAUAUAUAAUAUGAUGCCAAUUUUUAAAAACGUGUGUGUGCAUAUAGGCAAAAAGACUAUUUGAAUACUUACCAAAAUGAUAACAAUUAUUUUCUUGCAGUGGUAGGGCUUUUCUUUAUAGUUAUCUGCUGUAUUUAAUUUUUUUUAGUUAUACAUGGAUAUAGUAUCUUCAUUCCACUUAUUUAUUUUUAUAUUGUGCUGAGGAUCAAACCCAAUGCCUCACAUGUGUGAGAGGCAAGCACUCUGCCUCUGACUUCCAGCCCCAGCCCUAUCUGCUGUAUUUUUUACAAAGCUUAUUUAUUUCUUUAAUAUUCAGAAAAAGUAUUAAGCACAAAAUGUUUAUAACAAUUUAUCAAACGGCACUCUUUGUCCCUCUGAUUCACUGGAAUUUGCACAGUUCUAUUUAUUUAAUAAAUAUUUAUUGAAUGCCUACCAUGUGCAAGGCCCUGUGCUAAUAGCUGUUAGAUAAAUAGUAUUGAUGUUUCAUUAGGACCAAAGAGUGCAUAUUAUUAGGGCUGGGGUCAUAGCUCAGUGGUAGAGCACUUGCCUAGCAUGUAUGAGGCACUGGGUUUGAUUCUCAGCACUGCAUAUAAAUAAAAUAAAAUAAACGUCCAUUGAUAAGUUAAAAAAAAAAGUGCCUAUUAUACCCUUAUAGCUAUUUUCCAGGAGCUCUGGAUACAGGGGAGAAGAAGACAAUCUCUCUGACUCCAGGAGCUUAUAUACUAUAAAUAUGUAAAAUAAGUAAUAAGUAAUAGUCAUCAUGAUGUUUGUUAUGAAGGUGAUACAGUAAUGCCAGAUUUGUGGGACCCCAGUAGACCUCCAGGAGCAGAAUCUGAUGCAAUCACACAAGAGUCUUUAUUGCAAACUCGAGCCUGGACUCACAACCAUUCCAACACAGGAGCGGUCCCAGGGAAUGAGUCCUGGUCCUUUGUUCAGUGAGAUUUUAUAGGUAUUUGGAGAUGCUCUAUGCAUCACAACAUCACACAGCAAAUCAUUUCAGACCUCGGGAAAAUCAAACUACAACUCUUAACAUUGAUUAGCACAUUCACUGGCUGGAACAAGUUGGGUAGGGGUGAUUGGUUAGUACAAGAGGGGGAUUCCUUUGAACUGAUUGGUUUAAGUCACGAGCGGUGUAUGUACUAAACUACAUGGUUUCCCAACAUGUUAUCAAUCACCAUAAAUUACUGGGGGGUUAUCUGGCAUCCCAGGUAUUUUCCCUGUCUCAUGCUGAUUGGUAGUUGCUAGGGGGUUGCUAUGGGUCCUCACCUAGCCUAACUGAGUCAGGGACACCUAGAGUCUAAGAUCUCUCCUGUUAUUUGCAGACAAACAACUCAGCAGGGUGGGUAUGUGCUUAGGAGUGCUCUGUGGGUUUUUCCAAGGACAAGGGUCACACCCCCUUCCUUGGACAGGCUUUGAGGUAGAAGCUUUUUUCAAAAAUGGAGUCAUAUCAGUUUUUCAAUACUUUGGGGUCAUGUCCCAGAUGGUGACUGGGAGGGUAUAGCUGCCUUAGCUGGGGUAGUCAUGGAAGGCCUCACUGCAGAGAUCACAUGUGGAUGGAGGCCUGAAUACUAGGAGGCAAUUUGUGAAGUUAGGCUGUUAAGCAGAAGGAACAGCAAGACAGAAAGACCAAGGUGUAUAUUCAAGCAAUAAAUUGGACAAAUAAAAGACUGUAGCAGAGGGCAGAGAAUAAAGAAAAGUAAGCAGAAGCUAACAGGGCAGCCUGCAGGCCAUGAAAGAGAGUUUAGAUUUGAUUCUCAUUGCCCUGGGAAGUCGUCAGUAAGUUAUUAGUAAGAGAAGUGACAUUGCCUAGUUUACAUUUGAUAAAGAUCCCUUUGUGGGAGACAAGGGUGUAGACAGGGAUACCAGUUAAAUGCUGUUGAGGAUGCAGAGGAUGAUAGAGGAGAGGAAUACUAAAAACUCAUAUUGGGGAAAAGCCUCAUGAUUGGGGACCGAAAAAAAGUGGAGGAAAGCUAAGUGGUAAAACACUUGCCUAGCAUGCAUGCAGCCCUGGAUUCAAUCCCCAGCACCACAAAACGAAAACAAAUGAACAAAAACACAAUGGCAGAGGUUUUGUUCUUCCCUUAAGUAGCUACCUUUCUCUUUCAACUUCUGUCUAAUGGAGUAGGAUUGAGAUUAUUAACUAUAUCUCAGUAUCAAUUCUCCUUUAUUAUUUAGAGUUCCCUAAAUUAUAGCUAGACACAGGGCCAUUUGAUUAUAAACUACAUUUCCCAGCUGUCCUUGCAACGAGGAGUGAUCUCAUGUAUAAGUUCAAACCAAUGGGAAAUAAACAGGAGUAAUGUGUACUGCUUCUAGGUUAUCUCCUUAAGGACACAGACAAAAGAAAAGACUUCACGCAUCCCUUAGGCUGGAAAUCAGACAGAGUGCUAACCCAGCUUUGACCGGAAUGUCACUGUCCAUCAUGGUGGAACAGCCAGAUACAGGGACCAGUUUCCCUGAAUGACCUCAUAGAACACAAUCUGCUAGAUGACCGCCAAUGCUCACCUUCUAUCUGUAUCACAUGGGAAAAAUUAACUUCCCCUUUUUUAGAGUCAUGGCACAUGUGUGGUGCAUUCUAAACAUGGCGCAUUGUUUAGAACCACUUAUCCUAUAUCCAGUGUAGGGUAAUGUGGGGAAGCCAAUGGAAACAUUUAAACAAAGAAGCUAAGGCAUGGCAGGUGGCUGAUUUGUGGUUUUAAAAAGAUAAAUAAAAAAUUCUUCUUUUCAGUGCCCUUUUGCCCAAGAUGGGAAGAAGACACAGCCAACCAAGAGAAAAACCAUCUUCAUACUAACCUAGUCAGAAGCUCUGAGGCAUAUCCAAGACUUGGAAGAGUUUUGACCCCCAGCUAAGAUUCAGAAUGCAUAAUAAAGGAACACUCUAGUCUUGAACUCUGUAUAACAUUAAGUUUGUGAUAUGCUGAUUAAAAAGAAACAGAAAGAUAACAAAUUGUUUUCUUUACUCCUCUAUUUUUAAGAAACUUUACAUAUAAUUACUCUUAAUGAAGCAGUAUGCCCUUUCUAUACAAAUAUGCAAAAUAUACCAAGCUUUAAGUCAAUCAAACACAUUUGUACACCAGGCUUUGUGGC
rnacentral:lncRNA from 1 species